GACGUAGGUGGCGAGCGUUGUUCGGAAUCACUGGGCGUAAAGCGCACGUAGGCGGCCAAGUCAGUCAGGUGUGAAAUACCUCGGCUCAACCGAGGAACUGCGCCUGAUACUGCUUGGCUUGAGGUCCGGAGGGGAGAGUGGAAUUCCCGGUGGAGCGGUGAAAUGCGUAGAGAUCGGGAAGAACGCCGGCGGCGAAAGCGACUCUCUGGUCGGAAUCUGACGCUGAGGUGCGAAAGCUAGGGGAGCAAACGGG
rnacentral:rRNA from 1 species